UAGACCUCAAAUCAGUCAGGACUACCCGCUGAACUUAAGCAUAUCAAUAAGCGGA
rnacentral:rRNA from 1 species